GAUAAACGCUGGCGGCGUGCUUUAUGCAUGCAAGUUGAACGGUUUUGAUUUAUCAAGAUAGUGGCGAACGGGUGAGUAACACGUAAGUAACCUGCCCUAAAGUGGAGAAUAACUUCGGGAAACUGAGGCUAAUACUGCAUGUGAUGGCAGAGGUAGUGCUUUGUCAUUAAAGCCUUCGGGCGCUUUUGGAGGGGCUUGCGUUCGAUUAGCUAGUUGGUAGGGUAACGGCCUACCAAGGCAACGAUCGAUAGCUGGUCUGAGAGGAUGAUCAGCCACACUGGGACUGAGACACGGCCCAGACUCCUACGGGAGGCAG
rnacentral:rRNA from 1 species